rnacentral:rRNA from 1 species
GUCUACGGCCAUGCCACUCUGAACGUGUCCGAUCUUGUCUGAUCUCGGAAGCUAAGCAGUCGGGCCUGGUUAGUACUUGGUUGGGAGACCACUUAGGAAGACCAUGUGCUGUAGGUG